AUGAACGCUGGCGGCGUGCUUAACACAUGCAAGUCGAACGAAGCACUUCAUAAAGCUUGCUUUAAGAAGUGACUUAGUGGCGGACGGGUGAGUAACGCGUGGGUAACCUGCCUUACACAGGGGGAUAACAGUUAGAAAUGACUGCUAAUACCGCAUAAAACAGCAGAGUCGCAUGACUCAACUGUCAAAGAUUUAUCGGUGUAAGAUGGACCCGCGUCUGAUUAGCUGGUUGGUGGGGUAACGGCCUACCAAGGCGACGAUCAGUAGCCGGCCUGAGAGGGUGAACGGCCACAUUGGGACUGAGACACGGCCCAAACUCCUACGGGAGGCAGCAGUGGGGAAUAUUGGACAAUGGGCGAAAGCCUGAUCCAGCGACGCCGCGUGAGCGAUGAAGUAUUUCGGUAUGUAAAGCUCUAUCAGCAGGGAAGAAAACGACGGUACCUGACUAAGAAGCCCCGGCUAACUACGUGCCAGCAGCCGCGGUAAUACGUAGGGGGCAAGCGUUAUCCGGAUUUACUGGGUGUAAAGGGAGCGUAGACGGCAUCACAAGUCAGAAGUGAAAAUCCGGGGCUCAACCCCGGAACUGCUUUUGAAACUGUGGAGCUGGAGUGCAGGAGAGGUAAGCGGAAUUCCUAGUGUAGCGGUGAAAUGCGUAGAUAUUAGGAGGAACACCAGUGGCGAAGGCGGCUUACUGGACUGUAACUGACGUUGAGGCUCGAAAGCGUGGGGAGCAAACAGGAUUAGAUACCCUGGUAGUCCACGCCGUAAACGAUGAAUACUAGGUGUUGGGUUUCAUAAGAAGCUCGGUGCCGGCGCAAACGCAUUAAGUAUUCCACCUGGGGAGUACGUUCGCAAGAAUGAAACUCAAAGGAAUUGACGGGGGCCCGCACAAGCGGAGGAACAUGUGGUUUAAUUCGAUGAUACGCGAGGAACCUUACCCGGGCUUGAAUUGCAACUGAAUGAUGUGGAGACAUGUCAGCCGCAAGGCAGUUGUGAAGGUGCUGCAUGGUUGUCGUCAGCUCGUGCCGUGAGGUGUCGGCUUAAGUGCCAUAACGAGCGCAACCCUUAUUGUCAGUUGCCAUCAUUAAGUUGGGCACUCUGGCGAGACUGCCGGUGACAAACCGGAGGAAGGUGGGGACGACGUCAAAUCAUCAUGCCCCUUAUGACUUGGGCUACACACGUGCUACAAUGGCGUAAACAAAGGGAAGCGAAUCUGUGAAGGCAAGCAAAUCCCAAAAAUAACGUCUCAGUUCGGAUUGUAGUCUGCAACUCGACUACAUGAAGCUGGAAUCGCUAGUAAUCGCAGAUCAGAAUGCUGCGGUGAAUACGUUCCCGGGUCUUGUACACACCGCCCGUCACACCAUGGGAGUCGUAAAUGCCCGAAGUCGGUGACCUAACCGUAAGGAAGGAGCCGCCGAAGGCAGGUAUGAUAACUGGGGUG
rnacentral:rRNA from 1 species